UNGGAGAGGAAAGUGGAAUUCCUAGUGUAGCGGNGAAAUGCGUAGAUAUUAGGAAGAACACCAGUGGCGANGGCGACUUUCUGGACGAAAACUGACGCUGAGGCGCGAAANCCAGGGGAGCGAACGGGAUUAGAUACCCCGGUAGUCCUGNCCGUAAACGAUGGGUACUAGGUGUAGGAGGUAUCGACCCNUUCUGUGCCGGAGUUAACGCAAUAAGUACCCCGCCUGGGGAGUACGACCGCAAGGUUGAAACUCAAAGGAAUUGACGGGGGCCCGCACAAGCGGUGGAGUAUGUGGUUUANUUCGACGCAACGCGAAGAACCUUACCAGGUCUUGACAUUGGUGGACAGAACUAGAGAUAGUUCCUCUUCUUCGGAAGCCAGAAAACAGGUGGUGCACGGUUGUCGUCAGCUCGUGUCGUGAGAUGUUGGGUUAAGUCCCGCAACGAGCGCAACCCCUAUCUUAUGUUGCCAGCACGUAAAGGUGGGAACUCAUGAGAGACUGCCGCAGACAAUGCGGAGGAAGGCGGGGAUGACGUCAAAUCAUCAUGCCCCUUAUGACCUGGGCUACACACGUACUACAAUGGGAGUUAAUAGACGGAAGCGAGAUCGCGAGAUGGAGCAAACCCGAGAAACACUCUCUCAGUUCGGAUCGUAGGCUGCAACUCGCCUACGUGAAGUCGGAAUCGCUAGUAAUCGCAGGUCAGCAUACUGCGGUGAAUACGUUCCCGGGCCUUGUACACACCGC
rnacentral:rRNA from 1 species